AAAACUAAUAAACAAUAACCCUAAAGAUCCUAUUUAUAUGAUAGGAAUUAUAAUUCAAAAGGAAACUAAAUAACAAAAUACUAGGAAACUAAAUUCAAAUAAAUACAAAAUAAUAUCCAUAGAUAUCUCUGCAUCAUACUCCCCGUCUUCAGAGAAAACUCGUCCUCGAGUUUUGUCUUCGAACCAAAGCCACCCGGAUCAAAAGGAACAUCAACUUGAUUCCUUAUUAUCACGACCCACCUAAACAAUUCAACUUCAUAGAUCAUAUCGCCCGACUCUAUAAUUGUGCCACCUGGGUCGAAUGGAGCACUGGACCAUCUCAUGUUCACUUGCACUUCAUGUUCAUGCACGUUCAUUUGACUAGACCCAAAUUGGAAGUUUAUUAUUCAAUAAGCUGCGUCCAAAAUUAUUUUUCUUGUGUUGUAUAAAUGCCCAUGUGAUCGAUAACUUAUUUUCACCGCCAUGUUAGAAAAAUUAAUGAAUCAUUGUGUUUGAGCCAUUUGAUCGCACGCGAAACUGUCGUGUUCAAUUCACAAGAUCACAAGAUCCAGGAAACUGACCCAAAGGAUGUCAUCUGGGAUGAGAUUGUUCGGAAAGAGGAACAUCCUAAAGACUGCGAUGGUUACAAGUUUCAGGAAACCGACUCAGACGCUUUCUUCCGGGAUGAGAACUGUGAGAAGAAGGAGUAUCCUGGAAAUUGUAACGUUAUCUAUUCGUCACCUCCUUGUUAUGAUGAAUACGAGGACGGGGAAUGGUAUUCUUGGAUGACCGGGUGUGCAAUCGAAACCUUGGAAGUCCGUCAGAUAAGCAAUGUCAAAUUCAGGAAAGUUGAUGAGUUUAUCUAUCCGUCACCUCCCGUGUAUGAUGUAUACAGGGAUGAGGAAUGGUAUUCCUGGGUUGCCGGUAGUGGGCAAAUUUUACUGGGUGGAAAGCUUGUUGAUGUAGGAGAAGACGUAGUGGAUGAUGAUUUGAAGAUUGCUAUUAAUUUUAAUGAGUUUUUAUCUGGUGAAAAUCUAGGGGAUGCGGUGGUUAUUGGUGGCGUUGGGCUGGGUGAUGUGAUAGCUUCUGCCUCUGGUGGUUCUAUGGUGGUGAUAGGUCGUUCGAUGGCUAGCGGUGGGUCUCAAUCACAAUUAAAGGUAAACACUUCUUUCGUGUAGGAAAUAAAGGGUUUCCAAAAGGAAGGUAAUUUGGUCAAAUCUCUUGAUUUAGCGGAAGUUCAAAAGGUAAGCGAUAUUCCGAUUAAAAAGAAAAUAUUGAUUUCAAAAGGUCAAAUAAGGAGGUCCAAUAAGAAAACUAGGAAUAUUAUAAUAAUUUUGAUGGUGGAUAUACCUAAAGACAUGGAUUACAUGGAAUCCAUGAAUGGAAUUCAAGAUGAUUUGGAGCCACAAAAAUGUUUUCCCUUUGGUUUGCAAAUAGUCACCAGAUUAACUAUGGUUAGUGGUGUAACACCCCAAAACGGGAAUUAUAUGAAAAUGAGUAAAAAAAAGAGAGAGAGAGAGAGUUAAAAGAAUUAACUUAGUUGGUGUAAUGUGUAAAAAUGCUAGACAAAUGAUAAUAGGUGACUAAGUUAAAUAAAUGAACAAUCAAGAAGGGCCAAAUGUGAAAAUAGUGAAACUCCAAAUAUUAAAAAGAAAAAUAAAAGAAAAGAUACACAGUGUGUGUAUCUAUCUGGAGAUCGAUCAGGACAGGGAGGAACAAAGGGUUUAACCCUAAUUGCUAAUUCAGCCAAAUUAGGAGGAAAUCUCAAAGCUAAUUCAUUGCAUGAACUCAAGUUUCGAUCAUCUAAGCUAAUAUAGCUGAAUGGCGUGAAGGAAGAGGGUUCAAGUACUAAGAAAUCGGAAGGCUCACAGGAUCGAGGAUGAAAUCUUGUCAAUUGACUCAAGCAUGGAUGGCAAACAUGGUAAGAGGAAGCGAUGAAGCAAGCAUGAACAUGGACGCUAAAGUUUGGAAAGCAUUAACCGUCGCAAAGUAUGAAUAACGAGUCAAAAGAUUUGACCCGCGCCAGGUACGUAUAAAAAGAUUAUAUUUUCAAUAAGAGCUUAGGGCUCGAUUAGAGACUGACGUGUCAGAACAAGAUAACUGAUACCCAUAUGUAAGAAUGUAUUUACAAUUAGACUUCCGAAAAGUCAAACGAAGUAAAUGAAGUCCUUGCAAUAAUGCAAGUAUAAGGUACGAACGUGUACCCCGAUGCGACCACAAUAAGUAAGGGGGAUGUUAGUCCGACCUUAAAAAGGUCAAACUGCAAAAGUCGACGAAAUAACCAAUAAAAUGAAAUGAUAGUAUGUAAGGAAUGGAAUGUAUGAUAUGUUUUAACAUGUACAUAAGAAAAUUGUGAAAGAGACAAUCGGCGACCAAACACCCUGUGGGACGCAAAUAUGAAAGGUUAUGUGCUAACUAUUAUUUAUAGAUAAAUAUGAUGAAAUUCUUAGCGAGAUGAUAGUAAUGAAGCUAGUGGAAGGAUGCUCACGAGUGGGAGCAUAUUUCAUGAAUGAAUGAGACCAAUCUGGUAUGGAAGGUACAUAUAAAGAAGCGGAUCGAUCCGGCACACGGAUAACUGACUUAUGCAUUGAAGGCGAGGCGUGAAGGAAGAGGGUUCAAGUACUAAGAAAUCGGAAGGCUCACAGGAUCGAGGUAAAUACUCAAUUUAGGCGACUUGGAGAAUUGGAGCGAGCACAUGUUCAUGAUAUGUCAUACCAAACGCUUCCGCUAGUUGCACUUAUGUUUUGGGUCAAAUUUCCAUUUUGUACAACUUGUUAGUAGUCGUAUAUUUUAAAACUUGUUGCCUUUGUUUUCGGUAGUAUUAUGUCAAACGGAUCAUAAGAUGUUAAUUAGUUUGAUUAUGUUCAAAACAGGGGCAUGCUCGUUUUUGGACGGGUCAUGCCCAAAUUUUGUAAAAAUUAUGCAUCAAGUUGGUACUUUUGAUGUCUUUAAGUUACUCUUGUAAGACAUUCUAUAAUUACGCAAAAAGGGACAUUACAAGUGGACCUCUUCUGAAUCCAUCUAAUUUUUCUAACAUGGCGGUGAAAAUAAGUUAUCGAUCACAUGGGCAUUUAUACAACACAAGAAAAAUAAUUUUGGACGUAGCUUAUCGAAUAAUAAACUUGGAUCCACAAAUCCAAUUUGGGUCUAGUCAAAUAAACGUUCAUGAACAUGAAGUGCAAGUGAACAUGAGAUGGUCCAGUGCUCCAUUCGACCCAGGUGGAACAAUUAUAGCCCAACUCUAGCAUUCGAUGAUGCAGUUGAUUUCUUAGGUAUGUUUGUUACAAUGCAGUAUUAUACUCAUGGUUGCAAAAGUCGCUAAAUUGUUUAUUGUUAAAAUGAUUUCUUAAAUUUGUUACUUGGUUUUUUUCUUUUCUUAACGGCAUAACUGUUUGAGUAAUUUUUAAUGACUUUGGUAUGUUUUAUAGAUUUGUUAUAUUAACUAGGUCAACAAUUCCCAUCAUUGAUAAGAGCAAGGAAGAAGCAAAUGACACGUAAUUUUUUCUUUCUUUUUUUUUUUCAAUUGCUUGGGUCUGUUCUUCCCAAAUUGAGAAAUUUUCUUAUUAUAUUCUUAGAUUUGUUAUAUUAACUAGGCCAACAAUUCCCAUCAUUGAUGAGAGCUAGGAAGAAGCAAAUGACACGUAAUUUUUUUUUUCAAUUGCUAGGGCCUGUUCCUCCCAAAUUGAGAAAUUUUCUAAUUAUAUUCUAAGAGAUUUGAUAUAAUAAGUGACAUUUCAAUUUCAGGACAUGGAUUCAUGUUUAUCAUCUUAUUUUUGAGACAAGUCAUCGAUUUAAUGCAGAUAGUGUCUUCUUCUCGAAGUGGCAUUUCGUCGAACAACUUCAGGUAUAUGUUAGAAUGACACUCAAAUUGGUCAAAAACAACUAUUGAACCUUCGAGACUGAUAGAUUUCUAAGUGAUGGCUUUCCAAGAUGUUAGAGCACAUUUUUUUGCAGAUAUGGAAUCUGAGAUCUCAAGUGAAGUUUACCAUUCUCUGCGCUUGCGCAAGAGCUCUAAGCCACCUAUUAGUUGAAAAGGCAAAUUUGUUGUGUAGAUCUUGUUGGUUCUGUGCGUGUUCACAAGUCAGGUGUAAAGAUGGAAGCCACAACGAUAUAAUGCGUAGAGAGCAUGCGGGUGUUCAUGAAACAUUCCACACAUAUUCGCUUUUGUACAUUGUUUCUUGGUGUCUUAUUUGAGCCGACUAUCUGUGUUUUUUAUGUUUUAGUAAUCAACAAUUCACUUAGAGACUUCAUGCAAUCUAAGUUGUUGAAAUUGUAUCCAACCUUUCUUUUUUAUUUUA